UACAGAGGGUGCAAGCGUUAAUCGGAUUUACUGGGCGUAAAGCGUGCGUAGGCGGUUCAUUAAGUCGGUUGUGAAAUCCCUGGGCUUAACCUGGGAACUGCAGUCGAUACUGGUGGACUAGAGUGCGGUAGAGGGUGGCGGAACUCCGGGUGUAGCGGUGAAAUGCGCAGAUAUCAGGAGGAACACCGGUGGCGAAGGCGGGUCUCUGGGCCGAUACUGACGCUGAGGAGCGAAAGCGUGGGGAGCGAACAGG
rnacentral:rRNA from 1 species